CCCUUAGAUGUUCUGGGCCGCACUCGCGCUACACUGACGAAUGCAACGAGCUUAUAACCUUGGCCGAAAGGUCUGGGUAAUCUCCAAAUUUCGUCGUGAUGGGGAUAGAUUAUUGCAAUUAUUAAUCUUCAACGAGGAAUGCCUAGUAAGCGCAAGUCAUCAGCUUGCGUUGAUUACGUCCCUGCCCUUUGUACACACCGCCCGUCGCUCCUACCGAUUGAAUGGUCCGGUGAAGCGUUCGGACCGUGGCCUUUGGACGGUUCGCCGUCUGUUGGCUGCGGGAAGUUCGUUAAACCUUAUCAUUUAGAGGAAGGAGAAGUCGUAACA
rnacentral:rRNA from 1 species